UUUUGAAAGAGUCAACAGUCUAUGACAGUUAUCGCCGAAGCAGCAGCUUGAUUUGAAUUUAACUGGUCGUCGCUAAUUUGAUAAGAAAGAUGAACUUCUUUUCGGGCUUAUCUUACCUCUUGUUGGUCUUGCUGGUCCUGCUGGUGACUGGGGCCAUUGAUGGAACAUCGGCUUGCUCCUGGACCCCAGGUACCUUAUGUUUGGGCAACUGGGAUUGUUGCACUGGCAGUGGCUUAAGGUGCGAUUUCUUCGCAUGUCGACCAACAUAAUGAUCGAAGAAUGUACAUCAUCUGUUAAAUAAAGGAGGAAAAUAUAUGAUGUGAAAUGAUGAAUUCGCAUUCUUUCUAUAUUUUUGUGCGAUUGUAUAGGUGUGGCCCUGUUGCUUGCUUUCUACCUCUCCCUCUCUCUCAGACGGAUGCCCUGCGGUCUGGUUUAUAUAUGAGGCCAUAUAAGGGCCAGCCAAUGAUAGCCGGGUCAACAAUAGUUACCCUGGCGAGCUAUAAGGGAACCAGUACAAGACCCACCUGAAAUUCGCAAGCCUUGUCCAACCUGUAAACUAUCAAGAGAUCACAUCUGUGGUAGACUCCCGGGACAGUCCAGUUCGUCAUAUCAUUCAUACUGUCUUAAAUAGGGUGAGGCCGGUCCACUUCGUCCAGAGUGUACUUUGUGGCGGGGUAUGGCGACGAACAGGGGUAUUUUCAUACUGGUUACACAAAUCCCCAGCCCAAUUGCAAGUUGUCCCUGAUAGUGCUGGUACGGUUUAAAAGAAGACAAACUAAAUGAAUGGACAGCAUUCCCACUACACAACUGCAUUACAAACUGAUAAAUAGCGGACUAAACGGAAAACUUCUUAACAUUGUAAAAUUUAUUUAUGAUAAUGCCAAAUCUUGCGUUGCAACAAAUGCAACAGUGUCAAACUUUUUUAGGUGUGAUAUAGGUGUGCGCCAAGGAGACAACUUGUCACCAUUCUUCAAAUAUCAAACUACCAUCAAAUACUUAUUUAAUUGACGCACCCGCUGAUAAUAAAAAGUGCCCAAAAUGUUAUAAUAACGAGCUUGGCGAUGAAUUUCAUUUCCUAUUCAAAUGUCCUCUAAUAAAAGAAUUACGGAAACAGUUUAUACCAAAAGAAUUUCUUACAAAACCUAAUACAUGUACUGUAAAUUUUGAAAGGAUCAUUAAUACAAAAAAUUAGACUCAUAGGUACAAGUUAGCAAAAUUCAUCUCACUAGGAAUGAAACUAUAUUGUGAUAAUAAGUAAACCCUGAAUUUAGCUAGUAAUUAUUUUCUGUUUGAACGUAUUUUAUAUAGAACGCUAUCAAUCAAUUACUUUGUAAUUUAAAUAUGUAUAUUGACCUCCUGUAUACCACAAAUGUGGUCGAUGGAGUGAAUAAACUUACUUACUUACUUACUCAAGAGAAUGCUAUACAAUAAAAGACCUAUACAAUAAAAGACCUAAUACUGAAACCACAUGUCUGUCGACUGUGCUAUAAGAGAGACUGACACCACUAUACCCCCUCACACUCAGAAACCACAAACGCCCACCCCUUCCUGCUACCUUAAUACUUCUGGGUGUUGGCAAUUUCGAUCCUGAAUUGAUCAUGGACCACAGAGGUCCUCCACAUUAUUUGCAUUUCACCUGAUCACCUUGGUGACCAUCUGUCCCCUUAUAAGCCCCUCUGACGAGAGUCAUUGAAGAAGAAGCUCUAACUGUAUCGCCUUGAGUUGAGCGACCUCGCAAUGGAGUCCAGGGCCCAGAGCUAUUCAUGUUUAGCAAGCAAACAGGAAUCUUUCUAAGCUAAGAAAGAUUUUAUGGAAUAGAAUUAGCAAGUACAGUAACUAGAGAUAGAGUGGAAGUUAGCAACCAACAAGGCAUAGAAUGGUUUUGUGGAAUUUGGCCCAUGCAGUUUACUGUUUGAAAUUACCCUGACAAGUUGUGUCGCUUACAGAUGUUCGAAAUGAAUUAUUUAAGAAAAAACCUAUGAAUAAACUUACCGGUAUCUCCAGAAUACAAUUAUUAUCAAUUGUCAAUUGUAUAUAUUUUGAAAGAGUCAACAGUCUAUGACAGUUAUCGCCGAAGCAGCAGCUUGAUUUGAAUUUAACUGGUCGUCGCUAAUUUGAUAAGAAAGAUGAACUUCUUUUCGGGCUUAUCUUACCUCUUGUUGGUCUUGCUGGUCCUGCUGGUGACUGGGGCCAUUGAUGGAACAUCGGCUUGCUCCUGGACCCCAGGUACCUUCUGUUUGGGCAACUAUGCUUGUUGCUGGGCCAGUGGCUUAAGGUGCGAUUUCUUCGCAUGUCGAUCAGCAUAAUGAUCGAAGAAUGUACAUCAUCUGUUAAAUAAAGGAGGAAAAUAUAUGAUGUGAAAUGAUGAA